CGGGUGUGAUCAGAGCAGGAAGCCUGAAUAUAUGGCUCCUCUGUUUACAACACACCCAACAGGAUCAUGGAUGGGUUCGAUGAUGAAAGGAAGGCCACAAAG
ensembl:snoRNA